rnacentral:rRNA from 1 species
AGUGAACGCUGGCGGCAGGCCUAAUACAUGCAGGUCGAACGGCCGCACAGUAAGAGUUCGCUUUUACGGGUGGCGAGUGGCGGAUGGGUGAGGAAUACAUCGCCAUCUAAUUUUUCGUGGGGGAUAACGUAGGGCAGCUUAUGCUAAUACCUAAUACGAUGUACCGCAGAAAGCAGUGGUGAUACGCACUUUGCCCGACUGUAUUAGCCGAUGCCGCAUUAGCUAGUUUGUAGGGUAAAGGCACACCAAGGCGACGAUGCGUAGCUGAUCUGAGAGGGUGAUCAGCCACACUGGAACUGAGACACGGUCCAGACUCCUACGGGAGGCAGCAGUAGGGAAUAUUGGGCAAUGGGCGAAAGCCUGAUGCAGCCAUACCGCGUGAGUGAUGAAGGUCUUCGGGUUGUAAAGCCCUUUUGUUGGGAAAGAAAAAAUACAUGUGAAUACCCCGCUGUUCUGACGGUACCCAAUGAAUAAGCACCGGCUAACUUCGUG